GCCUUCGUGGUGUAGUGGUUUGCAUGCUCGAUGCAUAACCGAGAGGUCCGUGGUUCGAUUCCUGGUGAAGGCG
rnacentral:tRNA from 1 species